rnacentral:sRNA from 1 species
CCUUCUCUGUCUUCUUUUACCUUGCAGGAUGUGAGGGCAGGCCCCCAGCCCCUCAUGUCAGAGCCCCCUGUGUACUGUAACCUGGUGGACCUUCGCCGCUGUCCUCGGUCCCCACCCCCAGGCCCUGCAUGCCCCCUGCUGCAGAGGCUGGAUGCCUGGGAGCAGCACCUGGACCCCAACUCUGGACGCUGCUUCUACAUAAAUUCACUGACUGGCUGCAAGUCCUGGAAGCCCCCGCGCCGCAGUCGCAGCGAGACGAACCCUGGCUCCAUGGAGGGGACACAGACCCUGAAGAGGAACAAUGAUGUCCUGCAACCUCAGGCAAAGGGCUUCAGAUCUGACACAGGGACCCCAGAACCGCUUGACCCACAGGGUUCACUCAGCCUCAGCCAACGCACCUCGCAGCUUGACCCUCCAGCCUUGCAGGCCCCUCGACCUCUGCCGCAGCUCCUGGACGACCCCCAUGUGAAUCUCCCAUUUCUUUGUGAAGGCCAAGACCCUCCCU